GAUCCCUACGGGACGCAGCAGUGGGGGAUAUUGCACAAUGGGGGGAACCCUGAUGCAGCGACGCCGCGUGGGUGAAGGAGCGUUUCGGCGCGUAAAGCCCUAUCGGCAGGGAAGAAGAUGACGGUACCUGACCAAGAAGCCCCGGCUAACUACGUGCCAGCAGCCGCGGUAAUACGGAGGAUGCGAGCGUUAUCCGGAUUUAUUGGGUUUAAAGGGUGCGUAGGCGGACUGGAAAGUCAGCGGUAAAAUCGAGGGGCUCAACCUCUUUCCGCCGUUGAAACUGUCGGUCUUGAGUGGGCGAGAAG
rnacentral:rRNA from 1 species